CAGGAUCCGAGGUGCUGCAAGGAUUAGAUUCUGAAUUUCCGCCACAAUGUCUCUUUACCCGUCACUAGAGGAUCUGAAAGUGGACAGAGUCAUACAGGCUCAGGCCGCACAAGGGAUUUCCAGACCACCACCGGCCCUCAUGCCAGCGUCCGCCUCCCCGUCCGUUCCAGC